rnacentral:rRNA from 1 species
UACGAAGGGGCUAGCGUUGCUCGGAAUCACUGGGCGUAAAGCGCACGUAGGCGGCUUGUUAAGUCAGGGGUGAAAUCCUGGAGCUCAACUCCAGAACUGCCUUUGAUACUGGCGAGCUCGAGUCCGGGAGAGGUGAGUGGAACUGCGAGUGUAGAGGUGAAAUUCGUAGAUAUUCGCAAGAACACCAGUGGCGAAGGCGGCUCACUGGCCCGGUACUGACGCUGAGGUGCGAAAGCGUGGGAGCAAACAGG